rnacentral:SRP_RNA from 1 species
CCGUGCUAGACGGGGAGGUAGCGGUGCCCUGUACUCGCAAUCCGCUGUAGCGAGGUUGAACUCCCUUUCGAGGUCUUCGUAUGGUGAUGCAGCCUUAAGUAAGUGGUGUUGACAUUUGGGUCCUGCGCAACGGAAACUUAUGAACCCUGUCAGGUCCGGAAGGAAGCAGCAGUAAGUAAGACCUUUCGUGUGCCGCGGGGCUGCCUGAAUUGAGCUAACUGCUUAAGAAGCGGUCAUUUUACUUAGAUCGACAAAGGGUGCACGG